rnacentral:rRNA from 1 species
GACGAACGCUGGCGGCGUGCUUAACACAUGCAAGUCGAACGGAAAGGCCCUGCUUUUGUGGGGUGCUCGAGUGGCGAACGGGUGAGUAACACGUGAGUAACCUGCCCUUGACUUUGGGAUAACUUCAGGAAACUUGGGCUAAUACCGGAUAGGAGCUCCUGCUGCAUGGUGGGGGGUGGAACGUUUCGGCGGUUGGGGAUGGACUCGCGGCUUAUCAGCUUGUGGGUGGGGUAGUGGAUUACCAAGGCUUUGACGGGUAGCCGGCCUGGGAGGGUGACCGGCCACAUGGCGACUGAGGGACGGCCCAGACUCCUACGGGAGGCAACAGUGGGGAAUAUUGUACAAUGGGCGGAAGCCUGAUGCAGCAACGCCGCGUUCGUGAUGACGGCCUUUGGGUUGUAAACCGCUUUCGCCUGUGACGAAGCGUGAGUGACGGUAAUGGGUAAAGAAGCACCGGCUAACUACGUG